UGCCAGGGCCUGAGUUCGCUGGCGGAAGAGGCAGCGCGUCCGACCGAGAACCCGGAGCAGGUGGCGAACGAGGGUCUCCCGGAGCCCGUGCUGCGCAAAGUCGAGCUCCCGGUACCCGCUCAUCGACGCCCAGUGCAGGCCUGGGUCGAGUCCCUGCGGGGCUUCGAGCAGGAGCGCGUGGGCCUGGCCGACCUGCACCCCGAUGUUUUCGCCAUCGCGCCCAGGUGAGCGAGGGCUGUAAUGGUAAACUGAGUGGCAGAGGGAUGAAGAGCGGGAUUUCAGGAGUCAGGAUGACUUUGGGCUUGUACUCUUGGGAAAGUGCUGAAUUUCUACAGCCUCUGUUUCUCCACCUGUCAAAGGGGAACGAUGACAGUUUCCCCUGCUGUAGCGCUGUGUGAGAUUGAAGCCUGAGAGGUGACAUCAUCUAAGGGUUAGGGAGACAGAAUUCUGGAGCCCGACUGAUUAGGUUCAAAUCCUGCCUUUCCCUCUUGUCCCUCAUUGUCCCUAUUUUGUCAGCGGUCGGGAGGUUGCUGUGAUGAGUAAAUGACUUAA
rnacentral:sRNA from 1 species